rnacentral:tRNA from 1 species
GCUGCCAUCGUCUAGCGGUUAGGAUGACCGGUUCUCAGCCGGUUGACGCGGGUUCGAGUCCCGCUGGCAGUACCA